UGUGGCCAUAACUUUAAGCACACGUGUGCGUGCUCAGUUGGCAGCCAUGGCUGGCGGGUACAUUCUCGCCGGUGCUGCGGCCCUCACCUUUUCUGCAUCUUCCGUCAUCGGGACACAGGCGCCGUGCAGGGGUAUUUCGAGUCCAGGUGGACAUCGAGGCCAGGUGAGUGGCCCCACAGCGUGGAAGGGAUGAUCGAGCUCUUCUGAAAGAUAUCCUGCCUAGGAAACCUAAGAUGCUGGAGCUUGAAAAGACUUGACGGCACUUCAGAGGUUGUCAGGCUGUCUCGGGAAACUUCUCCCAAACAGAUGCAGAAAUGGAGACGAAGAAAUGAGAUUCCAGCUGUGUCGUGGCCUCCCUUCUAGAAAGGAAUCUGCAGUUUCUGGUUCUUGGCCUAAGCUUGAUUCUGUUUGUCCUUCAGGUUUUGAAUAAGGAACCUGGCUGUGUGAUUGUCUGGCAUCUGAAUAGAAUAAACCAUGGGUAUUGUAGCCAGCUAGAGGAAAACACACCUGCUAAUUAGAAUACUUCUGGAGGCAAGAUCAAGCCAGCCUGGGCUACAAAAGACCUGGUCUCAAAAUAAUAAUAAAUGUGGUUUUUACCUUUGA